AUUGAACGCUGGCGGCAUGCCUUACACAUGCAAGUCGAACGGCAGCACGGGAGCAAUCCUGGUGGCGAGUGGCGAACGGGUGUGUAAUAUAUCGGAACGUGCCCAGUAGUGGGGGAUAACUGCUCGAAAGAGCAGCUAAUACCGCAUACGACCUGAGGGUGAAAGCGGGGGAUCGCAAGACCUCGCGCUAUUGGAGCGGCCGAUAUCAGAUUAGCUAGUUGGUGAGGUAAGGGCUCACCAAGGCGACGAUCUGUAGCUGGUCUGAGAGGACGAACAGCCAGACUGGGACUGAGACACGGCCCAGACUCCUACAGGAGGCAGCAGUGGGGAAUUUUGGACAAUGGGCGCAAGCCUGAUCCAGCCAUGCCGCGUGCGGGAAGAAGGCCUUCGGGUUGUAAACCGCUUUUGUCAGGGAAGAAACGGCUCCUACUAAUACUGGGGGCUAAUGACGGUACCUGAAGAAUGAGCACCGGCUAACUACGUGCCAGCCGCCGCAGUAA
rnacentral:rRNA from 1 species